rnacentral:rRNA from 1 species
GGUUUCUGCUAAGUCGCAAGACGAUGUAUAGGAGCUGACGCCUGCCCGGUGCUGGAAGGUUAAGGGGAUCUGUUAGAGCAAUCGAAGCAGUGAACUUAAGCCCCAGUAAACGGCGGCCGUAACUAUACCGGUCCUAAGGUAGCGAAAUUCCUUGUCGGGUAAGUUCCGACCCGCACGAAAGGCGUAACGAUUUGGGCACUGUCUCAACAACAGACUCGGUGAAAUUGUAAUUCCGGUGAAGAUGCCGGAUACCUG